rnacentral:rRNA from 1 species
AUUGAACGCUGGCGGCAGGCCUAACACAUGCAAGUCGAACGAGUGGCGGACGGGUGAGUCAUGUCUGGGAAACUGCCUGAUGGAGGGGGAUAACUCCUGGAAACGGUAGCUAAUACCGCAUCCCAUCAGAUGUGCCCAGAUGGGAUUAGCUUGGUGGUGGGGUAACGGCUCACCACGGCGACGAUCCCUAGCUGGUCUGAGAGGAUGACCAGCCACAAGGGAACGGAGACACGGGAAAGACGCCUACGGGAGGCAGCAGUGGGGAAGAGUGCACAAUGGGCGCAAGGCUGAGGCAGCGAUGCCGCGGGUAUGAAGAAGGCCUGAGGGGUGUAAAGUACGGUCAGCGGGGAGGCGUUACCCGCAGAAGAAGCACCGGCUAACUCCGUGCCAGCAGCCGCGGUAAUAC